GGACUUGCUUGUCAGGGACAUGAUCUUAGAGGCAGCCUUUGUGCUGUAAGCUGAAAAAUGCAUUAUGACAUCAGAUCCCUAAAACAUUAUCAACGUCAGAUGUGAAGGCAAUACAGGAGUCGUAUAAGGAAAUUCUGAAGAAAACACUCAAUGAAUUAAUUUGAUUUUUGUGAAAAGACCCCAUAGUUGGGAAGAAUGUGACUUACAUGAACAAAACUACCAUUUGCUAAAUGCCUUAAGUCGGGAAUAGAAUACCAACUUGGAAAUGAUUAUGUAACACUUUAGGUGCUCUCCAAGCUAUCUCAGUAUAAGUUAAGUGAAAAGCAUUACAGAGGCACAUUAAGUUGCAUCUUUACAGGGAACAAAAAGCUUACGAAUCACAAAACCUGCUACAUUCUGCAGUGAAUGAAUAAAUGUGCUGGCAUCAUA